GAACGCUGAAGGAGGAGCUUGCUUCUCUGGAUGAGUUGCGAACGGGUGAGUAACGCGUAGGUAACCUGCCUGGUAGUGGGGGAUAACUAUUGGAAACGAUAGCUAAUACCGCAUAACAGUAGAUAUUGCAUGAUAUCUGCUUGAAAGGUGCAAUUGCAUCACUACCAGAUGGACCUGCGUUGUAUUAGCUAGUUGGUGAGGUAACGGCUCACCAAGGCGACGAUACAUAGCCGACCUGAGCCGAGCAGGGUGAUCGGCCACACUGGGACUGAGACACGGCCCAGACUCCUACGGGAGGCAGCAGUAGGGAAUCUUCGGCAAUGGACGGAAGUCUGACCGAGCAACGCCGCGCGAGUGAAGAAGGUUUUCGGAUCGUAAAGCUCUGUUGUAAGAGAAGAACGAGUGUGAGAGUGGAAAGUUCACACUGUGACGGUAUCUUACCAGAAAGGGACGGCUAACUACGUGCCAGCAGCCGCGGUAAUACGUAGGUCCCGAGCGUUGUCCGGAUUUAUUGGGCGUAAAGCGAGCGCAGGCGGUUAGAUAAGUCUGAAGUUAAAGGCUGUGGCUUAACCAUAGUACGCUUUGGAAACUGUUUAACUUGAGU
rnacentral:rRNA from 1 species